rnacentral:rRNA from 1 species
GACGAACGCUGGCGGCGUGCCUAAUACAUGCAAGUUGAGCGAUGAAGAUUGGUGCUUGCACCAAUUUGAAGAGCAGCGAACGGGUGAGUAACGCGUGGGGAAUCUGCCUUUGAGCGGGGGACAACAUUUGGAAACGAAUGCUAAUACCGCAUAACAACUUUAAACAUAAGUUUUAAGUUUGAAAGAUGCAAUUGCAUCACUCAAAGAUGAUCCCGCGUUGUAUUAGCUAGUUGGUGAGGUAAAGGCUCACCAAGGCGAUGAUACAUAGCCGACCUGAGAGGGUGAUCGGCCACAUUGGGACUGAGAAACGGCCCAAACCCCUACGGGAGGCAGCAGUAGGGAAUCUUCGGCAAUGGACGAAAGUCUGACCGAGCAACGCCGCGUGAGUGAAGAAGGUUUUCGGAUCGUAAAACUCUGUUGGUAGAGAAGAACGUUGGUGAGAGUGGAAAGCUCAUCAAGUGACGGUAACUACACAGAAAGGGACGGCUAACUACGUG